rnacentral:lncRNA from 1 species
GAAAAACGAUAACGGAUCGUCAAGAUUUUUAUAUGAAAAGAACGGGCUUUGCGAGGGGAUUCCAAAACUACAAUCAGUUUUAAAAAUGGGCAGAGUUUCGAUAUGAUUUUAAUUGAAAAAUGGCAGCAGUUCUCGAGAGAAAUUUGAACAAUGGCGAUGGAGGUGUUUUUGUGAAGUACACAGUAUGUAUAUGCAUGCGAGUGGCGCAAGGAGGGAG